GUAGGCGUACGGGGCGUGCGUAAAGUUGCAAGGCCAACGAUGAACCCUGCUUGCUGGGUGGAUUAGUGGCGAACGGGUGAGUAACACGUGAGUAACCUGCCCUUAACUCUGGGAUAAGCCUGGGAAACUGGGUCUAAUACCGGAUAGGAGCGUCCACCGCAUGGUGGGUGUUGGAAAGAUUUAUCGGUUUUGGAUGGACUCGCGGCCUAUCAGCUUGUUGGUGAGGUAAUGGCUCACCAAGGCGACGACGGGUAGCCGGCCUGAGAGGGUGACCGGCCACACUGGGACUGAACACGGCCCAGACUCCUACGGGAGGCAGCAGUGGGGAAUAUUGCACAAUGGGCGCAAGCCUGAUGCAGCGACGCCGCGUGAGGGAUGACGGCCUUCGGGUUGUAAACCUCUUUCAGUAGGGAAAAACCAAAGUGACGGUCCUGC
rnacentral:rRNA from 1 species